UUUCUUCGGAACUGAAGAUUUGGUGAUUGAGUGGCGGACGGGUGAGUAACGCGUGGGUAACCUACCCUGUACAGGGGGAUAACAGUCAGAAAUGACUGCUAAUACCGCAUAAGACCACAGCACCGCAUGGUGCAGGGGUAAAAACUCCGGUGGUACAGGAUGGACCCGCGUCUGAUUAGCUGGUUGGUGAGGUAACGGCUCACCAAGGCGACGAUCAGUAGCCGGCUUGAGAGAGUGAACGGCCACAUUGGGACUGAGACACGGCCCAAACUCCUACGGGAGGCAGCAGUGGGGAAUAUUGCACAAUGGGGGAAACCCUGAUGCAGCGACGCCGCGUGAGUGAAGAAGUAUCUCGGUAUGUAAAGCUCUAUCAGCAGGGAAGAAAAUGACGGUACCUGACUAAGAAGCCCCGGCUAACUACGUGCCAGCAGCCGCGGUAAUACGUAGGGGGCAAGCGUUAUCCGGAAUUACUGGGUGUAAAGGGUGCGUAGGUGGUAUGGCAAGUCAGAAGUGAAAACCCCAGGGCUUAACUCUGGGACUGCUUUUGAAACUGUCAGACUGGAGUGCAGGAGAGGUAAGCGGAAUUCCUAGUGUAGCGGUGAAAUGCGUAGAUAUUAGGAGG
rnacentral:rRNA from 1 species